rnacentral:rRNA from 1 species
AUUGAACGCUGGCGGAAUGCUUUACACAUGCAAGUCGAACGGCAGCACGGGGGCAACCCUGUUGGCGAGUGGCGAACGGGUGAGUAAUGAAUCGGAACGUGCCCAGUCGUGGGGGAUAACGUAGUGAAAAUUACGCUAAUACCGCAUACGAUCUACGGAAGAAAGCGGGGGAUCGCAAGACCUCGCGCGAUUGGAGCGGCCGAUAUCAGAUUAGGUAGUUGGUGGGGUAAAGGCUCACCAAGCCAACGAUCUGUAGCUGGUCUGAGAGGACGACCAGGCACACUGGAACUGAGACACGGUCCAGACUCCUACGGGAGGCAGCAGUGGGGAAUUUUGGACAAUGGGCGAAAGCCUGAUCCAGCCAUUCCGCGUGCAGGAUGAAGGCCUUCGGGUUGUAAACUGCUUUUGUACGGAGCGAAAAGGCUCUCUCUAAUACAGGGGGCUAAUGACGGUACCGUAAGAAUAAGCACCGGCUAACUACGUGCCAGCCGCCGCGGUAA